UACGGAGGUGGCAAGCGUUACUCGGAAUUAUUGGGUGUAAAGGGCAAGUAGGUGGCUUGGUAAGUGAGAGGUGAAAUACUCCGGCUCAAUCGGAGAACUGCCUUUCAUACUGCCUUGCUUGAGGAUGGUAGGGGGAAAUGGAAUUCCCGGUGUAAGGGUGAAAUCUGUAGAUAUCGGGAAGAACACCAGCGGCGAAGGCGAUUUCCUGGACCAUUCCUGACACUGAAUUGCGAAAGCUAGGGGAGCAAACAGA
rnacentral:rRNA from 1 species